GACGAACGCUGGCGGCGUGCUUAACACAUGCAAGUCGAACGGUAAGGCCCUUCGGGGUACACGAGUGGCGAACGGGUGAGUAACACGUGGGUGAUCUGCCCUGCACUUCGGGAUAAGCCUGGGAAACUGGGUCUAAUACCGGAUAGGACUCCUGCCUGCAUGGGUGGGGGUGGAAAGCUUUUGCGGUGUGGGAUGGGCCCGCGGCCUAUCAGCUUGUUGGUGGGGUGAUGGCCUACCAAGGCGACGACGGGUAGCCGGCCUGAGAGGGGGACCGGCCACACUGGGACGGGGAGACGGCCCAGACUCCUACGGGAGGCAGCAGUGGGGAAUAUUGCACAAUGGGCGCAAGCCUGAUGCAGCGACGCCGCGUGAGGGAUGACGGCCUUCGGGUUGUAAACCUCUUUCAGCACAGACGAAGCGCAAGUGACGGUAUGUGCAGAAGAAGGACCGGCCAACUACGUGCCAGCCGCCGCCGUAA
rnacentral:rRNA from 1 species